rnacentral:rRNA from 1 species
GGUUAAGCGACUAAGCGUACACGGUGGAUGCCCUGGCAGUCAGAGGCGAUGAAGGACGUGCUAAUCUGCGAAAAGCGUCGGUAAGGUGAUAUGAACCGUUAUAACCGGCGAUGUCCGAAUGGGGAAACCCAGUGCAAUUCGUUGCACUAUCGUUAACUGAAUACAUAGGUUAACGAGGCGAACCGGGGGAACUGAAACAUCUAAGUACCCCGAGGAAAAGAAAUCAACCGAGAUUCCCCCAGUAGCGGCGAGCGAACGGGGAGCAGCCCAGAGUCUGAAUCAGCUUGUGUGUUAGUGGAACGGUCUGGAAAGUCCGACGGUACAGGGUGAUAGUCCCGUACACCAAAAUGCACAGGCUGUGAACUCGAAGAGUAGGGCGGGACACGUGGUAUCCUGUCUGAAUAUGGGGGGACCAUCCUCCAAGGCUAAAUACUCCUGACUGACCGAUAGUGAACCAGUACCGUGAGGGAAAGGCGAAAAGAACCCCGGCGAGGGGAGUGAAAAAGAACCUGAAACCGUGUACGUACAAGCAGUGGGAGCACCUUCGGGUGUGACUGCGUACCUUUUGUAUAAUGGGUCAGCGACUUAUAUUCUGUAGCAAGGUUAACCGUAUAGGGGAGCCGCAGGGAAACCGAGUCUUAACUGGGCGUUAAGUUGCAGGGUAUAGACCCGAAACCCGGUGAUCUAGCCAUGGGCAGGUUGAAGGUUGGGUAACACUAACUGGAGGACCGAACCGACUAAUGUUGAAAAAUUAGCGGAUGACUUGUGGCUGGGGGUGAAAGGCCAAUCAAACCGGGAGAUAGCUGGUUCUCCCCGAAAGCUAUUUAGGUAGCGCCUCGUGAAUUCAUCUUCGGGGGUAGAGCACUGUUUCGGCUAGGGGGUCAUCCCGACUUACCAACCCGAUGCAAACUACGAAUACCGAAGAAUGUUAUCACGGGAGACACACGGCGGGUGCUAACGUCCGUCGUGAAGAGGGAAACAACCCAGACCGCCAGCUAAGGUCCCAAAGUCAUGGUUAAGUGGGAAACGAUGUGGGAAGGCACAGACAGCCAGGAUGUUGGCUUAGAAGCAGCCAUCAUUUAAAGAAAGCGUAAUAGCUCACUGGUCGAGUCGGCCUGCGCGGAAGAUGUAACGGGGCUAAACCAUGCACCGAAGCUGCGGCAGCGACACUAUGUGUUGUUGGGUAGGGGAGCGUUCUGUAAGCCUGCGAAGGUGUGCUGUGAGGCAUGCUGGAGGUAUCAGAAGUGCGAAUGCUGACAUAAGUAACGAUAAAGCGGGUGAAAAGCCCGCUCGCCGGAAGACCAAGGGUUCCUGUCCAACGUUAAUCGGGGCAGGGUGAGUCGACCCCUAAGGCGAGGCCGAAAGGCGUAGUCGAUGGGAAACAGGUUAAUAUUCCUGUACUUGGUGUUACUGCGAAGGGGGGACGGAGAAGGCUAUGUUAGCCGGGCGACGGUUGUCCCGGUUUAAGCAUGUAGGCUGGUUAUCCAGGCAAAUCCGGAUAAUCAAGGCUGAGGUGUGAUGACGAGGCACUACGGUGCUGAAGUAACAAAUGCCCUGCUUCCAGGAAAAGCCUCUAAGCAUCAGGUAACAUCAAAUCGUACCCCAAACCGACACAGGUGGUCAGGUAGAGAAUACCAAGGCGCUUGAGAGAACUCGGGUGAAGGAACUAGGCAAAAUGGUGCCGUAACUUCGGGAGAAGGCACGCUGGUGUGUAGGUGAAGCCCCUGCGGGUGGAGCUGAGACCAGUCGAAGAUACCAGCUGGCUGCAACUGUUUAUUAAAAACACAGCACUGUGCAAACACGAAAGUGGACGUAUACGGUGUGACGCCUGCCCGGUGCCGGAAGGUUAAUUGAUGGGGUUAUCCGUAAGGAGAAGCUCUUGAUCGAAGCCCCGGUAAACGGCGGCCGUAACUAUAACGGUCCUAAGGUAGCGAAAUUCCUUGUCGGGUAAGUUCCGACCUGCACGAAUGGCGUAAUGAUGGCCAGGCUGUCUCCACCCGAGACUCAGUGAAAUUGAACUCGCUGUGAAGAUGCAGUGUACCCGCGGCAAGACGGAAAGACCCCGUGAACCUUUACUAUAGCUUGACACUGAACAUUGAGCCUUGAUGUGUAGGAUAGGUGGGAGGCUUUGAAGCGUGGACGCCAGUCUGCGUGGAGCCAACCUUGAAAUACCACCCUUUAAUGUUUGAUGUUCUAACGUUGGCCCCUUAUCGGGGUUGCGGACAGUGUCUGGUGGGUAGUUUGACUGGGGCGGUCUCCUCCCAAAGCGUAACGGAGGAGCACGAAGGUUAGCUAAUCCUGGUCGGACAUCAGGAGGUUAGUGCAAUGGCAUAAGCUAGCUUGACUGCGAGCGUGACGGCGCGAGCAGGUGCGAAAGCAGGUCAUAGUGAUCCGGUGGUUCUGAAUGGAAGGGCCAUCGCUCAACGGAUAAAAGGUACUCCGGGGAUAACAGGCUGAUACCGCCCAAGAGUUCAUAUCGACGGCGGUGUUUGGCACCUCGAUGUCGGCUCAUCACAUCCUGGGGCUGAAGUAGGUCCCAAGGGUAUGGCUGUUCGCCAUUUAAAGUGGUACGCGAGCUGGGUUUAGAACGUCGUGAGACAGUUCGGUCCCUAUCUGCCGUGGGCGCUGGAGAAUUGAGGGGGGCUGCUCCUAGUACGAGAGGACCGGAGUGGACGCAUCACUGGUGUUCGGGUUGUCAUGCCAAUGGCACUGCCCGGUAGCUAAAUGCGGAAGAGAUAAGUGCUGAAAGCAUCUAAGCACGAAACUUGCCCCGAGAUGAGUUCUCCCUGAGACUUUAAGUCUCCUGAAGGAACGUUAAAGACGAUGACGUUGAUAGGCCGGGUGUGUAAGCGCAGCGAUGCGUUGAGCUAACCGGUACUAAUGAACCGUGAGGCUUAACCUU